rnacentral:rRNA from 1 species
GGACCAAGGAGUCUAGUAAAUGAGCGAGCCUUUAAGGUACUAUCCUAAACACUGCAGGCGUUGUGAAGGCACUUGAAGGCGAGCCUUGCUCAGGCCUAGGGACGAUGGGCGACAUUUGACAGUCGCCUUCCGCAGUCGCCGGGGUGGUCUCGUUCUCGUUGCGAGAAGAGGCGUGCACCUAGCGUCACGUGCUAGUACCC